GACCCCGGGAAAUUCAGGACCCCCGAACAGCUAAAUUGGUCGGAGGAGUAAGGUUCAUCCUCCCUAAAACGCGUUGAAGUCCCGAGAUGAAGGUCCUCAAAGUGGGCUAUUGGGCUAAAAAGUCCUGAGACGUGGGGUCCCAAGGUACCAAAAAGUGUACACAGCGCUAUUUACUAUUUUACUAUUUCGCGUGUGUAAGUGCGUGUUUACUAUUCACUAUUCCAGGUGUGUGUGUGUGUGUGUGUGUGUGUGUGUGUGUGUGUGUGUGGGUUUAGGUUUUGGUGGUGUUUGUUAGUGGGGCACUCAGAGACAACUAAGAGGUGUACUAAGUGUGGGUGGAUAAAUCCAUCCCCUGAGGCACAAGGGUUGCUGGAUCAGGAGAAGCGUAGGUCGGAUAAGGUAAAACACGGAUCACGAAUUUGAUAGAGAAUUGGAUGACGGAGGCUGGGGUCCACCAGUGCGCGGGCGGUGGAAGCCUCUGUGUGAGCAGAUGCAGCUGCUAAAAAAGCAGCUGUGGGAAAAACAGCUCAGGAAAAGGGCAGAGAGAGAGAGACGGCAGAUGCGUGGAAGCGUAUGGGUAUUGCAGUGAAAUGUGCAGGAUACAAACCGGAGGAUAGGCAAUCAUUAGGAGCACUUUUAUGGUGUAAGGAAAAGGAGCAUAGCGCCCUGAAAGAUGAGGCAGGACGCGAGCUAGAGAAAGCAAGGAUGUUAGCAAGGUCAGACACAAACCACACUUUUGCCACCAUUGUGUGAGGUCUAAUCAUAAUGGGUGAAGACUAGACCUCGGGAAGUCAUAUCACGUUGUUGAUCCAGGCCCUGUGCCAUCCAGCAUAUAUUUCCUGAGGCGAUCUUCAUUAUUUUUGUUGGUUUAAGACCCCAUGGUGUCAGACCACCACUAUGGUAGGAACAAUGUUGAAUGCGUGCAUGCGGCUCUCUUAGCCAGCCACGGCCAUCUCCAGCCUCAGUUGUUACCAACAGGUACCACAGUGAGGUGGGGCCAUCGCUAUCCUUUUGCAUUCCCUUGGACAAGGAAAUAGAACCAGUCAUAGCUACUCUGAAGCAAUGUCAUAGUUAUGCCGUUUACCCACGCUUCAUUGAAUUUCUUCACUUUGACAAUCAGAGCACUGGACAGAAAUCACAUCGCAUCAACAUCUGCUGCAGGCCAUCACAUUCCUUUUUUUAACUAGUCAGAUUCCCCUGGUCCACACCUGUUCAAACUCAGCUGCUAGGCGCCGGCUGAGGCGAGACGCGGGCCAUGUACGAACUGCUCUCCCACACACAGAGGCAACAUCCUCUACCUGGUUUUCAGCCGCCCCUCUAUAGCUACCGACAUCACUUCUACCCCUCUUCACAUUUCUGAUCACCACUUAGUAUCCUUUACCAUUGCCCUACCUAUCUUGCCCAAUCCUGAUUUUCAACAUUUCUUGCCCACUCAACGAAACCUCCACUCAGUCUCCCUUUCUGUUGUUUCCUGCACCCUGUCUUGCCUUCCUGACCUUGACUCCUUUUCCUCCCUUGCACUGGAGUCUGCAACUGAUACACUCAUCUCCUCACUUUCCACAUCGUUGGACAACCUCUGCCCGCUGUCUUCCAAACCCAGGAAAACUCACCCUGCUCCUUGGCUUUCAGCUGCAUUACACACCAACCGAAGAGAAUUGCGGGUAGCAGAGAGGACGUGGAAGAAAUCUAAGCUUGAUGCAGAUCUGUCUUCCUAUCGUACUCUACUAUCCAAGUUCUCUUCAGGUGUGACUGCAGCUAAAACUGCCUUUUACAAAGCAAAACUGCCCCAUGUGCCAGAAGACACAGCCAAGCCUCUCAGUGAAUCUGACUAGGGUGUGCAUGAAGAGGUCUUCGAAACUGGCCAUCCACGAAGUGAUGGAGAAGGCAAAGCAAGAUUCCCUUGAAGUUAUGCAGUGGGGCAGGGUCUUCAGCUACAGGCACCUGCGAGAGAUUUUGGAUGAUGCUAAUCCAAUUAGCAGGUUGGUCCAGGAGCUAGAGCCUCGGCACAUGGUGACUGACAUCACCUCCCCAGCAGUGACGGCGCAGGCCAGCAGUGUUCCUGUGGUGGCUGGUGUAACCAUGCAGCAACCGGAGAACUCUGAGAGUGAGCAGUCGGAAGACAUUGUUGUCAGUGACAGCAGCGGCGAGACCUUUCAAGUUACCUGGGAGGUGCAGUGGCCACAGAGCUGCAGCCACAUGAUGCAGGAGAAGGGACUGUACAGGAAACAUUCCCUGGACCAUCCCCUCCUGAAGGGCUUCGCCAGAUACCUCCUGAUUUAAAUUCUCAUUCAGGAGAUCCUUAUGGUCUCCCAUAAAAAAUACACUAUUUUUUGGAGCUUUAUAUCUAAGCAAUGGAUAUAUGUAAUGCUGAUUUUCAUUCCAGGUGGAAAACGUCAGCAGGUUCAUGUUUUUUUUUGUGAACUACAAAGAGCCUUCCCUUGAGUUUGUCAGGGAGAGGGAGAAGACAAAGCUCUUCUUUCGGGAGCUGACUGAGGGUGGUCUCUCCAGGCAGACUCAGGUGAACUACAUGAAGAGCCUGAAGAGGUUGAUAGCAUGUAUAUUUUAGGUACACCUUGCUAGUACCUGGUUGGACCCCCUUUUGUCUUCAGAACUGCCUUAAUCCUUCGUGGCAUAGAUUCAACAAGGUGCUCUAUUGGACUGAGAUCUGGUGACUGUGGAGGCCAUUUGAGUACAGUGAACUCAUUGUCAUGUUCAAGAAAGCAGUCUGAGAUGAUUCGAGCUUUAUGACAUGGUGCAUUAUCCUGCUGGAAGUAGCCAUCAGAAGAUGGGUACACUGCGGUCAUAAAGGGAUGGACAUGGUCAGCAACAAUACUCAGGUUCCUCAAGUACCACACUGUCACCACUGACCUGCGGCGUGACAACAUUGCCUUGUGGAAUGAGGCAAAGUUCUUUGUGGAGUACCUGAGCUCACUACAGCAGAGCUCUGCCAAGUUGGUGAGUAAGGAUAUCAUCCAAAAUAGGUAAGUUCAACUGUCAGCGCCCAUUAAAUUUCAUAUCACAGUAUGAUUAUACAUCUCCUCUGCUAUGUUUAACACACUCUUGUUUUGUUUUUUUAUCUCUCACUGCUCUUGGGCUGCACUGCCUGGAGAUCGAGCCAUUUUACAUCAUGAGCACAUUAAAAUGUGGAUUGUAUUAAUUAGGGUUGACAGUAAUUGAAUUUUCUUUUUUUUCCCCUCACAUAGACAUGCCAUCCUCAAGGAGAACAACCCUCUCAGUCCAGAGGACUGCUGGGCCGUGCUGAGGGCUGCCAAGAAUGACUUCUUGGCACGGUGUAUCCAGAGGAAAGGCCCCUGGAGGCUGCAGAAUGCCGCCUUGUUCGCUAUUACCUGGAGACCACGGUCAUUCUGAAACAUCUCGAGCGACCAGGCGUGGUCCAGGAGAGGACGACCAGGAGCAGGACCGAAUCGGACCAUGCGGUGAUUGCGGUGAAGGAGUACAAGACAUCGGCGCAGGCCACAGCUUCUGAGCUCCAAGAGAAGCCGGACAACAACGGAUGACAAUGGAGGAGACGGAUGGUUCUUCGUCUCCACCGCAGGCCGGCCGAUCUUCAAUGCAUCGAAUCACCUCAACCGGCUGCACCAAAAAUGCAAGCUGGAUCCAGUCAGCAAGCAGAUGGCCUGGCGCAUCUUUGAGACGGCGACCAAGGACUUGAGUCACCAGGAGAAGUCCUUGGUGGCUGAUUUACCUCACGAAUUCCACUGCGACGGCUGACAAGCACUACCGGAUGAAGCAGUCGCGGAAUGUGGUGCUGGCCAAUAAGCUGCUGAAGAAGCUGGCAGGUGACUCGAGGCAGCAUUCGAUCAGCUCCUUUGAACCCACUCCGUGACCCUGGAGGGCGAGGUGCCAGACACGACUGUACGGACACAAACGUCGGGCCAGUUUCAGCGACAGCUCUGAGCACUGGCUGAAGGCCCUGAUAAGGAUGCGUGUCUGGCAUGUCCUCACACACUUUGGCAGCCACAUCCAGGAGCUCAUCCACAAGCAGAAGUGGAAGGGACUUGUUGUGGCGGACAUUGCGGGGAAGGGAGUCUGCGCCACCCGGCAGUUCCAGGCUGGUGAGGUGGUAUGUGACUAUCACGGGCCAGUAUUCACAGCCACUGAGGGCCAGCGAAUCCAUAACAGUAUAAAUGAAGAAGAAUCCAGCUACAUGUUUUUUUUUUUCAGGAACAGCCAGGGCAUUCACAUGUAUGUGGAUGCCCAUUCACCUGAGUGUGCCUGUCACCCAGGCAUACAGACUUUUGGCCGGCUGGUUAACCACUCCCAGAAAAAAGCCAACCUCUGGCCAAGGUUGUACAGCACAGCAGAGGGAUAACACAUUUUAUUUUUAUCAAUCAGAAAAAUAAAUGUUGGGGAGGAGCUUAUUUGAUUAUGGGGUACAGAGGACAUCAUGCAGGGGAGAGGGGUUGGAGCUCUCCUGGCUGUGAAACCCUGCACCCCAG